rnacentral:rRNA from 1 species
UACGUAGGGUGCAAGCGUUAAUCGGAAUUACUGGGCGUAAAGCGCACGUAGGUGGUUUGUUAAGCCAGCUGUGAAAUCCCCGGGCUCAACCUGGGCACUGCAGUUGGAACUGGCAAGCUAGAGUAGGGUAGAGGCCAAUGGAAUUCCGGGUGUAGCGGUGGAAUGCGUAGAGAUCCGGAAGAACACCGGUGGCGAAGGCGGUUGGCUGGGCCACAACUGACACUGAUGCGCGACAGCGUGGGGAGCAAACAGG